GGAAGAUUGGCCGAGUGGUUGAAGGCAGCAGUUUUGAAAACUGCCGUACGUUCACGCGUACCGGGGGUUCGAAUCCCUCAUCUUCCGCCA
rnacentral:tRNA from 1 species